UCUUCUGAUUCCCAGUUGUACUGUAAACUGCACUCUGGAGCUGUGUGAGACAGCACACUUCUGCCCACUGCAUGAUUUGUUUUCCCCUUCUGACUGCCCAGGAAUUCACACCCUCCCACCAUGCAUGCCCCAUCUUGCCUCCAACAGCAGCAUCCACCAUCACUCAUGCACACAGCUUGACUGGCCACCAUGGAGAAGUUCGAACCAUCUCUGAACAGGGUCAGAUAAGGCUAAAGUUAAUGUGCAACUGUGGGUAUACUCGAAUGACAUAAAUACCAUGUCAGGGACUCUGACUGGGCCAAGAACAACCUAUCCAUCAUAUACAGCCAAGGUGGGAUUGAUCAUCAGUCUAUUGAGUGGCAAUGCCCAGACCUUGGGUUCCCUACUUUUGGAAUCAGCAGACCCUCUCCUUGACAACACUGAAGGCUUUAUCCAGGCCACGGCUAAAAUUUUUGGCAGCCCUGUAUAAGAUCUAUACUUCAGAACAAGCUUUCCAGACCUUAGUAUCCAUAUUGAUGCCCAUCUGUCCAAGCGACAACAGGAGGGUUAGGCGAAUCUCAGCCCUUGGGGCCAACUAGGUCCCCGAAAGAGCCAACACCACCCCAGUGGAGGCCAUGCAGUUAGACAUGGCUAGGAAAAGGCUCCCCCUAGAGAAGAAGGCUCAUUGUCAUGUCAAGGGCCUCAGUCUGUACUGUGGGGAGUCCAGGCAUUUUGCCUGGAUCUGCCUGAGGAAAGAAAUGCCCCCCUCAUUUCCUGGCCUGGCAUCAGGGGUUGUCCAGGCCCACUGCUGACUAUACAGCCAGCCCCUCUAAUUUGUAGUAAACGUUUGAGUGCUACGAAGCCCCCCUUGCUAGUCACCCUUCACCUACAGCACCUGACUUGUGUGGGCAUCUCUGUUCCAGCCCUCUUAGACACAGAAGCCAAGAACCAGAAGGCAGAUGCCCCAUCUUGUAAUGAUGAACCCUCUGCACUGGACCCAUUGCCACCUUCUACCGUGAAGACUAAGAACUUCAUUUGGGGAAAUACUCAACAAAGCCUCCUCUCAUCCAUCCAAACAGCCCUGAUAGAUGGCUCCCAUGCUAAAGAACUGCACCAAUCAGUGGGGCCAUCCCAACCUGAUUUUCAGCGGCUUGGUAACCUGUGCCCCUGCCCUGGUGACCUCCUAUUUGCCUCCUAUCUGCAGACCCAGCUGCCUAAGUCUCAGCCAGAUCCUCACAAUGUGCAAAGGUGGAGGAAACCUUCAGACUAUAAAAAAAAAAACUACUGGCCUGCCCACAUCUGAAAGAACCAUGCACCAAUAAAGACCUCACUAAGGCUUCAGAUGGAGCAAUAGUAUGUGCCUAUUAUUGGACUCAAAUUUGAACAAAAGGACAUGGCACUGAAAGAAGGAAAAAUGCAAAAUGAUAUUAAUAGCAUUUUCUAUUCCUCUUGCAUAGGUGCAAAUGAUGAGACAAAGUACAAGGCAGGAGAGAAUCAGAGCAAGUUAUCUGUGUCAAGCGCUAUGGAGCAAACCUGCUAGUUUUGCUCUGCCUUACUCAGCAGCCAAAGCCGAUGGAGAGGAAUGCCCCAUGAAGUGUGUCCUAGCAAGGCAGGCAGACACUCCCAUGUGAAUAAAUGACUAAUAGAGCAUGCAUAGUGAUGCUCAUUAGAGGAAGUUUCUGAUAGCCUAGGAUGCAUCUAAAAUCAGCAGUCUAAAAAGCCACCACCUCAUUUGUUGCAUAAUUUGCAGUGGAAAUAAAAAACAGAAAAAGGUAAUUGUGUGUCCCCUAGCACUUGAGCCCUGAGAGCUUCAGGAUCCUGGCCUCCAGUGGAGCCUGCUCAGCUCCUGCAAACAGAGCCACUCCUCUACGAGAGCUUCACACUUUGUGCUCUUGGCAGCAAUACUGUUUAGGAAAUUAUACCAAACUGAAGACAUAACAUAGACAUUGCAAAUAGAACUGUUUACAUUCCUGUAAAGAGCUGCAGCAAAAACUGCCAGGACCGCAAUCUCCCUGGAGCAAGACACUUGAAAGCUCACAAGCUUUAGAUUUUGUCCUGUCUGUUUAAUGCAUUCAUCAUGUCCAUUAGGUGUGAUGUUUGCAUGCUCUUGACUCAAAACCCGUAGCCUAGGCUAUGCCUACAACAGUUAAAAGUGGGCCCAAACCAACAUCCUCAGUCCCAACAUGCUCCAUGUUUGGUGGGCCUUGGAUCAGGCUUUGCACCUUGGAUCUGUCUCUUCCAGAGAUGGAGCCACCUAAACCAAAAGAAGUGUCUUCAGAUGAAAGCCAGUGGAAGCUGUAAUGAUCUUAAGCACUUAAUUGUAUUUCUGUAUAUAUUUUGCACUUCAGACUGGCAGGAAGAAGACAUGUCAUCAGCAGAGGAAUGCCUGUCUCUGGUUCUGACAGACCUGAAAAGUAUAGCUUUAUGAGCAGACAAGGUUCUUUGGGGAAAUUUGAUAUCUUUUAUUAGACCAACUCAAAUAGUUGGAAAAAUUCUUCUUAGCAAGCUUUUGGGUUUAAAUAUCCUUCUUCGGGCUGAGGAAGCAUCUGCAGCUGGUGUGUGCACGUGCUUCCUGGAUGAAAGGAAUAGUGAAGCAGCCAGAGGCUGGUAUGUAUGCAGGAAAGGCAGUCAGUGAAGAUAUAAGUUGAGGAGUCAGUGUGGGAGAGACAGGUUUGAGGGGGAGGGGGAAGGAAUGUAGUUGGUAAAUAGUGGAGAGAUACCUGGGGAGUCAGAUGUUAGGCAGGGUAUAAUGUGCCACAGCUUUACGAGGCAACUUCAUGGGAGCCCUGCAUUAGAACAGAAGUCUGUGCUUUGUUUGGGAUCUGGAUAUUGGGAAGGUUGCCAGAUUUUCAGUUCUUCUAUAAUAGACCGGAGUUGUUCAGACUCAGGAUUUUAGUAUGACCCAUUUUAGCCAAAGAAAUCACCGGUGAAAUUCUGAUCCAGAGUGGGAACCGAUGCAUUUUCAAUAGACAUGUUCCUGGGCUACGAAAUCACAGAAUGAGGAACUUCACAAGGACUUACUAAUCUUCAGUGUCUCAUAGGGUCUCAUGGAGAAUGGCUGAGUGUGUUGCUUUGAAUAAAAAGUAAAAAGUUCUGUUUUCUCAGCCUGGCUAAAUGCCUUUUUAUUCUCAGUGUAAAUUGCCUGGUGAGCCACCCUUAACAGCUCUUAGAUCAGUGCUUCCCAAAUUUUUCCUCGACAUGACCCCAUUUAGGGCCCCAUUUCCUCAGCAUGGCCCCUCACUCCCAACCCACAACUCCUCACCCCCAGAACUUCUUCUGCAGAUGUUGCAACCCCAUUUAGGGUCACGACCUACAGUUUGGGAACUGCUGUCUCAGAUCAUAUGUUUCCUAGCCAUAGCUAUGGGUAUCAGGCUUUACUGGGAGUGGCUCAAGGCAAUGCUGUGCCUCUGUGCCGAGAAGCCGGCCUCCUGUUUGGCCCAACCCAUGGUCUUCCAAACACUCUUCUUCCUGUUGGGAACAGCAAAAGCUUCGCGGCAGGUUAGCGCAUGCACAGCAGAAUGGGAUGCCUUGGGCUCAAGCACAGGCUGAUACAGAUAUGAUAAAAAGGGUAGAACCUGAGCUGGCAUACAGCUACAAAGCUACAUUAGUCACCAACGCCACAUCAAUGUACUUCAUUUAAUCUUGCCAUCUUUCCAAUAACCAGGUAUGUCAAGGCUAGGAAGAUAAUGUUUUAGGUCAUGCUGUUCCUUGCAAUAACUGCCCUUAGAAAAAAUGAACAUUAACUUUAAAAUAAGUGGGAUGGGAAGUGGGGUUUUGGAAGCUGUUUAGAAUUAAGCACAUCCAGACAGGUUAUUGUAUUAGUUUUUAUCCAGUUCAGACUCAAGUGUUGCUACUAUCAGUGUAUUACCUCCUAGUCUCAUAUUACCUUUUCUUUCUCAUGUUUCUUUAUUGCCUCUAAAUUUCACAGAGUGAAUUCAAGCCUUGAGGCUUUCCCUCCUCCGCUGUCUGUGAAUAGCACUUGGUUUGAUAUAAAAAAUCAAAUCAGAAAUGUUUUGUUUGUAACAUAAUGCCAUAGGUGUGGAGAUAGGCAGACAAGGUUUCCUUGGGUGAAUCUGAUAUCUUUUAUUAGACCAACCCAAAUAGUUGGAGAAUAGUUAUUAAGCAAGCUUUCGGGUUCAGUAACCCUUCGUCAGGCUAAGGAAGUUUCAGCAGUUGGUGCGUGCUCUUCAUGGAUGGAAUGAAAAGUAAAGAAGCCAGGGGCUGGGCUGGGGAGUCAGUUGUCAGGCAGAUUAUAAUGUGUCAAAAAUCCAAUGUCCAUAUUUAGUCCAUGAUUUUUAGUAUCCAGGAGGUUGAUGAAAUGGAGUUCAUAGGCUCGUCUCUGGGAAGUGUUGUGUAAGUUUCCUCUGAGGAUCAGAACUGAGAGAGGCAUCUUUUUAUCACAGAAACUUAUUCAGGGUGAUUUCUUUGAGAAAAUUAUUGAAAACCCUGUAGUUAGCAACAGCUUUACCAUGUACUUCAGUAGGUUUGGUAUCAGACUAUUGGAUAUCAGAAUAUAGGAAAUACACAAUCAUAUUCAGUAUUCUAGUAGAAGGGAGUAAGCUUUAAAAAAAAGGCCACUGUGGCAAUAUAUAACUUAAGGGAAAGGAUAUUAGACAAAAAUGAGGAAGUUAGUUAGAAAGAAGUUUAAACAAACAGUCAAAAAUGUAAAAAGCCUGCGGACAGCUUGGAAGCCGUUUUAAAAUACCAUAUUAGGCACCUGACAGACAUUCACUUACAGGCACAAUGGAAUCUGAUUCCCAAUCCCAACAAUCGCAUCUCCUGCCAUGCCAGAGGUGCAUGCCAGGAGGUGCAUUUGUGGGAUAAAGAAUCAGAUCCUAGUCACACCAUAUUGCUGGUGCAGGGGGAGCCAAGGCUCAUGAUCCCAGGCUCAAGCCCUGGGGCAUGCCAUAUGUUCAAGUUGUGGCACUAUACAAACCAGCCACAAGGAUAUUACAUAUUUUUCAAGUAAUAUAUUUGAGACGUUUGUGAUUUUAUGGUGCCAUAAAUUCUGUGAAUUAAGGCCACUCCUUAAUAACACCAGAAACAUAACAUGUACCAGAGGCCUUAGAGGCUUAGGAAAAGUACAUACCACAAAUCAAGAAGGGUACCAAGGAAAUCAAUAAAACCCUUCAUGGUGUAAGACCAGGGUAAAAAAGGCCAUUCAAGGCAAAAAGACAUCCUUUAAAAAAUGGAAGGUGUGCCCAAAUGAGGAAAACAUCAAAGUUCACAAGCUCUGGCAGGUCUAGUGUAAAACCAAAAUAAGACAGGCCAAAAAAGAAUUUGUGAAGCUUUUAGCAAACGAUGCUAAAGUUAAUAAUGAAAACAUUUUAAAGUAGAGGAAACAGGAAGCCAAAAAGACAAUACAUGGGACCAUUAUUACAUGACCAAGGUGUAAAAGGUGCAUUCAGAGAUGAUAAGGCUACAGCAGAGAAGCUAAACUAAUUCUUUGCACUGGUAUUUACCGCAAAAGAUUACUGGGGAAAUGCCCAUGCCAGGUUAAUCCUUUCUGGUAGAUGGGUCUAAAGAGUUGAACCACACUGAAAUGACAGCAGAAGAAGUUUUAGAACAAAUCAAUAAAUUAAAUACUAAUAAGUCAUCAGGACCAGAUGGCGUUCACCUGAGAGGUUUGAAAGAACUCAAAGCUGAAAUUGCAGAACUGCUGACAACAGCACGUAACUUUAGUGUUACAAAUGGCCUCUGUUAUAGAGGACGGGUGACAUCAUACCCAUCUUCAAAAAGAGCUCCAGAGGUGAUCCUGGGAACUACAGGCCAGAGAGUCUCACUUCCAUCCCUGACAAGUUUUGUAGAAUCUCUAGUAAAGAAUAAAAUCAGCAGUCACAUGGACAAAUGUGAUCUUCUGGGGAAAAGUCAACAUAAUUUUUGUAAAGGGAAAUCCUACCUCACAAAUCUGCUGGAGUUCUCUGAGUGUUUUAACAAGCACAUGGACAAGGGGGAUCCAAUUCACAUAAUAUCUCUGGACUUCCAGAAAGCAUUCAACAAAGUGUCUCACCAAAGGCUUUUAAAAAACUAUAUUGCCACAGAAUUGGAAAGAAGGUUCUUUUGUGGACUGAGAGCUGGUUAAAACAUAAAAAAACAAAGAGUAGGGCUAAGUGAUCGUAACCAAAAUGAUCAGGGGCAUGGAGUAGUUAUCAUACCAUGAGAGAUUAAAAAGGCUAGGACUCUUCAAUUUGGAAGAAGUCAGAGACAGUACAGUGGUCUAAAUGGACCAUUAGCCUGACCCAGUAUGGCCUUAUGUUCUUAUUUCCAAACUCUGGCAUUCAAAAACGAUGAGUCAGGCCCCAAAAAAUCAUAACAUAGUUUUUAAAAUCAUGAGGUUUAAAAAAAAUAGAUGUGGGGGUUGUUUUUAUUCACCUUCUAUGUUUAAGCCUCUUGUUCAAAUACUGAACAAAAGGCCACAGACCCUCCAGUUGCCCCAGGCCAUAUCCAAACUCCUUGUGGGCAAACCCAGCCCUCAGGGGAUAGGCUGCCCACCCCUGCUGUAGGAGACUGUAGUAGAAAAGUACAAAAUACACCAAGACUUGUGAUUAAAUGGAAAGAAUUAGCAACACUGAGACGCCCAUAGUUUAAUACUGAAAGCCUCUUAGAGAAGGAGAAUGGUCCCAAACGUAUUAGUUACAUAGAGCUUAUAAAAAAGACCCUUGCAAAUUCAAGGAAUUCUCUUGUUAUCUGCUUCUACUAUAUUGCCAACCUCAAAUGUUAAAUAAUGUCAAGUCCCCAUAUCAUAUUAUUUUAAAACUUUAUUAACUUGAACACUAUUUUUAUUUGCUUGCUGGUUUUUGCACUUAUGGAAUGUAUUGGGGUCACAAUUUCAUGCCUUUUCCCACAACCAUGACGCCUAGGAAGAUAAUUUUAUAAGCAGAAUUUCUUAUGUAUUCUUGGGACUCCAGCAGUUGGGACUUCAAGUAGCAAUGACAUUAACACUUGCAAAGCAAUUGGUGGGCUGGUAAUGCUGUUGUGCAGUACCUAACACAGCAGGGUUUCACUAUGCGGGUCUUCUAGGAGUUAGUGUGGUGUAGAUUGUGCUUUCCAACUGCCAUGUAAUAGUUUUUUACUUUGUGUUCAUUACUCGCUUCCACCUGCUUUCCAGAGGCACUGUGGGCACGUGCAGACAAGUGGGACUGUGCAUUCCCCGGGAACAACAUAUUUGUGCUGUUGGUAGUUGUCCCUGGGGAAUGUCCCUCCAUGCGCACCCUAGUGUGCGGCAAGUUACUAUGGGUGGGGUAGGGGAGGCUGGGGCUCUGGUUUCAGGGCAGUGCAUGCUACCACUAGGUGCACUACCCCACUUUUUUCUAGCAUGAGUUUUUUUGACAUCGGGAUCUCCCAGUGGCAAAACCCCUCUCUGUGCUGCAUAUUAGCAGUGCAGCAAACGUCUGCAUAUGCGGUGCAUGUGGUUUGCAGUGCCGCAGACGGGUCUGCAGUGCUGCAAGCUUCAUGUGCACGCUUAUCUGGAUGCACCCCAUGGUGCUAAUUAAAGGGUUAAACUGGAAAUGUAAGGCAAUUCUACUUGGCUGCUAUAGGCUGUACAUCUUAGGGCCUCAGAGUAUAAAUUUUAAAGGCUUGAAGAUCAGAAAUACAUAACUUAUAGACUGCAACCAAGUCUGUAACCUUGUUGUACUUACAUAAAGUAAUUUCAUUUUGAUUGCC